AAAGGAAAGUAUAAUAAAUGAAUAGAAUUUGUUGAGGGAGGGGUGAAGAAUGUGAGAAUUCAAGGGAAAUACCUUGAUUUAAACUAAGUUCAUCUGGGUAAUUGCCAUGUUAGAAAAAAGCCUGAAAAGCAUUACUUUUUAAAAAUAAUUCUAGGUAUUUGUAGAAAAAUUUCUGGCUAUGAAGCUUAGAAAUAAAGAAGAUAACAAGCUAGUCAAACAUCCAUUGCGAGGGUGGAAAAUUUUGCUUCUACCCAGGGAAGGGCUUAGUAGCUAGGUCUGAGAAACAGAAGAAACAGGAGAAAAGCAUACAAGUUUCUUUAAUGUAAGUUUUAUGUGACAAGAGCGCAGUCAUAAGGAAUUGAAAGUAACAAGGUUAAUCUUGGAAAAGCAACAAAACUGUGGAAGAAGACUAAAGCAUCACAUUUUUAAAAUGAUUAGGAAUUACAUUAACAAGAUCUUCAAGAGUUCUCUCUGGCCUCAACUUCCUGUCCAUGCUGGCCUGACUCCUUCCAGGAUAAAAAGGAGUCACCAGAGAGCACUUCUUGCAUCUGUUGCUUUAAUUGCCUUCCUCUCAAAAUAAUCCCUAUGCCAAGUGGUAUACUUUGUUGUGGCAGAUUCUCCCACCUUCACCGUCUAUUGCUGUCCUUAUGACUUCCUGUGCAAAAAACCUAUGAAAUCAAGUAAGGAUAGAGGCUUCCUGUUGAUGGAAAUUGUACUGAUGUUUUAUGUCUUUAAAAUAUGUUCCAGUUAAUAUUGGAGAAAUGUAAUAAAAAAA
rnacentral:lncRNA from 1 species